ACGGGAGCCAAUAAAUCUGGUGGUGAAGAAGAAACCAGUUCUUCCUUAACGUCGCCAGGAGGGAGGGAGGGAGAGAGAGAGAGAGAGAGAGAGAGGUUUCUUUCAUGUUCCCACUCAAUUUUUGGCAAAUUUUCAUCUCAGGAGGGUUGAUUUGUGCUGGCGAAGAAGAAGAAGAAGAAGGGCAGGAAUGGCCAUGGCGUCCUCUCAGCUCCUCAUUCACAAUUUCUUAAUCACCAUCGCAUUUGGCAUUCUCCUAUUAUUUCCUAUAUCAAUUGUGUCUGCCGAUGACCCUAAAUCUCCUGCCUGCAACAAGUUACAGCGAUUGGU